rnacentral:rRNA from 1 species
UAAUACGUAGGGUGCGAGCGUUAAUCGGAAUUACUGGGCGUAAAGCGUGCGCAGGCGGUUUGGCAAGUCAGAUGUGAAAUCCCCGAGCUCAACUUGGGAACUGCGUUUGAAACUGCCAGACUAGAAUAUGUCAGAGGGGGGUAGAAUUCCACGUGUAGCAGUGAAAUGCGUAGAGAUGUGGAGGAAUACCAAUGGCGAAGGCAGCCCCCUGGGAUAAUAUUGACGCUCAUGCACGAAAGCGUGGGGAGCAAACAGGAUUAGAUACCCUGGUAGUCCACGCCCUAAACGAUGUCUACUAGUUGUUGGUGGAGUAAAAUCCAUGAGUAACGCAGCUAACGCGUGAAGUAGACCGCCUGGGGAGUACGGUCGCAAGAUUAAAACUUAAAUGAAUUGACGGG